ACACUCAGUAAAAACGGAGAGAAAAGAUAAAAGCUCAUACAUAUACAUACUGCGGAAAUAGAAUGCUCAUACACUGAUAUCACACAAACAUAAGCAAUCAGAAGGAUACUUUUAAGCCACCUAUCAGAAUACAUUCAGGCAUACAUCUACAACACAAGCUGUUACAGAUCCCAAGUUCAACAUCCCAGUUCGUGCAUAGUACUUACAAACCACACGAAGACAACAAAGAGAGCAUAUUGAUAGCACAACACACACAAGAAAUCAGUGAGCAUAAAGGAAAGAAUUCGGUCGGUUCACAGUGGGGGAAGAGAAGAAAAACAUAGACUACACAACAAAAAACAACAACCAGAGGGCAGGCUAUCAUAUACAGUCAUAAAAAAGGAGAAAUCAGGAACAGAGAGAAUUCAGGAAGAAGCUACAACAUAGGAAGAAGAGCAUACACUCAGGUAAGCAUUUCACUCUACUUGUCUAAACAAUUAUAAACAAAUACAUCCCCACCCUGUUUGUAUAUUUAUCAAAACAUAUACAUACAUAUUGUGAAAUUAGAAUAAGCAUACGCACGUCACAACAUAAGAAAUAAAAAAUGCAUAACAGUUAAAGAACGCAUCAUAUGUGCUAACGCAUAUCACCAGAAUCUGAAAGACAUACACAUCCAUAUCAUACGUAUAUAGAGACAGAGCCUCUGUAAACAGAGAACCAACACUCAGAAGGUUACCCAAUCUUGGUGAGGUUGAUCGUGAGUACCUACACCUUAAUGUCAUCAUCACCGAGUGAACACCGCACACUCCUUGGCCUUAAUAAACCUCUGCGAGGAUAAGAAGUUAUGAAAAUUAUAAAAUCCAGAAUAGAAAAUCAAAAAGAGAAUUAAAAGGAGAUGAGUAAUAAAGAACUAAAGAGAUCGGGAGGGGUGAUUACCUUUUUUUUCAUAAGUCACCGAUGAUUCUCAAUCAUCGCUACCACCACUGAAAUCGAGAAGAGAAGGUAAAAAAUAGAAGGAGGGCGACCCGCAAUGCUUCAAACCGAGAUGAAUAGAGAGGAAGAGUGAAAAGGGGGAUUCAGGGAUUUCGUCUUUCUCAUUCUCUGAUGAUUUCGUGAGAAAAGGUGAGGAUGAGGACUUUCAUCUCUUGAUGCAUGUGAUGACAACCGUGAUCUCCCUUCUUGACCGAGAACAAAGCCACCGCCGGAGAUGGAGAAGAGGUGGAGAAGAGAGGGAAAAAUAGGAUUUAGGGAUUUAAUCCCUUGGUACCGUGAUGGAGCAGGGUAACAUUCCCUUUUUGUUUUUUAUGUCCCCAAUGCCAAAUUCUGU
rnacentral:lncRNA from 1 species